rnacentral:rRNA from 1 species
AUUGAACGCUAGCGGGAUGCUUUACACAUGCAAGUCGAACGGAGUGGCGGACGGGUGAGUAAUAUAUCGGAACGUGCCCAGUAGCGGGGGAUAACUACUCGAAAGAGUGGCUAAUACCGCAUUCUAUCGGAGCGGCCGCUAUCGGAUUAUCUAGUUGGUGGGGUAAAGGCUCACCAAGGCCACGAGCCGUAGCUGGUCUGAGAGGACGAUCAGCCAAACGGGGACUGAGACACGGCCCAGACUCCUAGGGGAGGCAGCAGUGGGAAAUUGUGGACAAUGGGGGAGACCCUGAUCCAGCCAUCCCGCGUGUAUGAAGAAGGCCUUCGGGUUGUAAAGUAGUUUUGGCAGAGAAGCGGUAUCUGCAGAAUAAGCAACGGCUAAGUACGUGCCAGCAGCCGCGGUAAUUC